UGGGGAAUCUUGCACAAUGGAGGAAACUCUGAUGCAGCGACGCCGCGUGAGCGAUGAAGCCCUUCGGGGUGUAAAGCUCUUUCGACGGGAACGAUAAUGACGGUACCCGGAGAAGAAGCUGCGGCUAACUACGUGCCAGCAGCCGCGGUAAUACGUAGGCAGCAAGCGUUGUUCGGAAUUACUGGGCGUAAAGAGUGUGUAGGCGGUUCUCUAUGUUCGGUGUGAAAUCUCCCGGCUUAACUGGGAGGGUGCGCCGAAAACUGGAGGGCUUGAGUAUGGGAGAGGAAAGCGGAAUUCCUGGUGUAGCGGUGAAAUGCGUAGAUAUCAGGAGGAACACCUGCGGUGUAGACGGCUUUCUGGACCAUCACUGACGCUGAGACACGAAAGCGUGGGGAGCAAACAGGAUUAGAUACCCUGGUAGUCCACGCCCUAAACGAUGCAUACUUGGUGUGGCCGGUACCCAAUCCGGCUGUGCCGAAGCUAACGCGAUAAGCAUCCCGCCUGGGGAGUACGGUCGCAAGGCUG
rnacentral:rRNA from 1 species